CACAAAGAAUAAAAGUCAUGUAUAAGUUGUAAAUCAUUUGCUAAUUUUUAAUUUUAUUUUAUUAUUGAUACUUAUAAUAAUUUAAACUAUUAUUAAUUUUAUAUAAGUAUUUAUAUUGCACAAUUUUAUUGAACGUAUGUAUACAGAUAGUCGUAAUUUCAUAAGAAAAUAUAUAUACAUAAAACAAUCUACGACUGAAAACUUUGUACUAUAUCUAAGUUUAAUUCAUAAGAGAAGAAUAAUGUCGAACAACGAAUUUUCGUUUUUGCUGCGCAGGUUUACCCCGAUUAGUUCGAUAAGCUCCGAUAAGCAAAACUAGUAGGCGUGCGCAUUUGCAACAUCUGUAAUUCCAAACGUGUAUACCCCGUGAGUAAGAAUUAGAUACUUUCCUGUGUUAUCAUGUCUUCUCUCUAUCCCCAUACUUUUAACCACCGUGUAUAUAACUGAUGAAAUACAAAGCAAACCAUGGAGGGAUACCACAAGUAGUUGGGUGGUCAAUUAAGUUCACUCGAGCUGCGCGAAUGAAUAUGUUUCUCUUAUGAAAUAAAGUGUAGAGUUCAAUGGCUAGACAUCAAAAUUGUUCCAAGAGCGCUUGCGUAUGAUUCUUAGUUACGAAUAUUGAAACCAAUCAGAACUGAUAUGCGCAGAAUAAACAAGAACUUGUCAUUUGGAAGAUCCAUUUAUAAGCGAAAAAGAGUAUAGUUGAUGCAAAAAAGGGUGUAUACAAACUAUUAUAUGUUUUAGAAAUGAAAUAACUUUUAUACAAUCAUGACUUUUAAUAAAUGAUCAAAGAUACUUUUUUAUGAGUACCUAUUUUUAUCCAAUUUUUUAAUGAUUCAGUCAAUAUCUGUUCAUUUUAUCGUGUCAGCAUAACCUUAUAUUUAUAGUUCUGUCAUAUAAAUUCCGUCAAAAUGAUGCAACAAUACAUGAAAGAAUUAGAGCAGGACCCAUUUGAUCCAGAAGAAUUUGUUGAACGACUUGCUUGGAGAACAGUCAAUGAUACUACAAAAGACAGUGGAAAAACAUUUUUUGAUCCCACAAUAGUACAUGAAACAUUUUUACAAGCAAUUAAAGAUUUACAAAUUCUUCAAGAACGUCAACAGAAAAAGUGUGAUAAACUAGAAGCAGCACUAAAAGAUGAGGAGACAAGGCAUAUGCUUGAAAUACUUGAAUUACAGGAAAAAAAUAAACAUUCUAUUGAUCUAUUUCAUCAAUUAGAUGAAAGAAUAAAUCUUGUGGCUACUAAAGUUUUACAUUUAGGAGAUCAAUUGGAAAGUGUUAACACACCAAGAGCUAGGGCUGUUGAAGCACAAAAAUUAAUGAGACACUUUUCAGAUUUUUUAAGUCCUGGACCUUUAACAGAUCCAAUCUUUACAGAUAAGUCAUCGUUAGAUGAAGCAGCUGAUGUAAUACAAAAACUCCAUCUUAUUUCUCAAGAAUUGCCAUCUGAAAAGUUUGAACAUGCAAAGAAAAAGAUUGCUGUUAAAUAUGAUGAAAUUGAAAGAAAUCUUAUUGAAGAAUUUGUUAGAGCACACAAUAGAGAAGAUGCUACUCGUAUGAAAGAAUUAGCAUCCGUUUUAGCACAUUUUAAAGGAUAUUCGCAAUGCAUUGAUGCAUUUAUAGAACAAAGUCAAAUGGGGUCAUUUGGAGGAAAAGAUGUUUUCCAGGAUGUAAUACCUAUGUGUACAAAGUAUAAUAAAUUAAUGCAACAAGUAUUUACAAAUCCUGAGCAGGUGAUGGCAAAGUUUGUGUUAAAUAUUUAUCAUUUGAGACUUCAAAAAUAUGCAGUUGCUAAGCUAGCAGAUAAAACAGAUCCUGAUAAAUAUCUUAGAAAUUUAUAUGAUUUAUAUACAAGAACUGUGAAAUUAUCUACAGAAUUGAAAAUAUUUAAUAUGGGUACUGAUGAUACAUAUCUUGCAAAACUUACUAGAAAUAUAUUUCAAAAAUAUUUAGAUACUUAUAUCAUCAUUGAAACGAAAGCAUUGCGAGAAAAAUCAGCAGCUCUUCUUAUUGAAUACUAUGAGUCUAAAAAUCAUCAAAAAAAGCAGUUACAAACGGGAGGAUUUCAAGAAUUGCGAAGAGAUUUACAAGCAGUUUUAGGUGCAAGGACUAAUAUAAAUAUUGCACAGAUAGAAAACUAUGGUGGAGAGACAUUUCUGUCAGAAGAACUUGCAAUUGCUUUAUUACAAAAAAGUAAACUAGCUUUUCAAAGAUGCCAGUUAUUGUCAAAACCUGAUGAAAUACCAGUAAAUGUGCUUCAAAUUUUGGAAAUCUUAUUACAGUAUUUAAUAAGUGAACAUGUUGAUUAUGCAUUGGAAUUAGGUUUACAAAGUGUACCAAUUCCUGAAAGUAGAACACAACCUGAAAUACAUUUCUUCAAUGUUGUAAAACAAUGUAAUGCAAUUGUACGCCUUUUGGAAGAACAAUUUAAUGACAGUGUAUUACCUCUUAUUACAUCAACUCCAAAACAUGGAGAUUGUAUGUUAAAGAAAAAAGUUAUAUUAGAACAAAUUGAAAUGAAAUUAGAAACAGGAUUGGACAGAAGCAUAAAUGCUAUUAUUGGUUGGGUAAAAGUAUAUUUACAAAAUGAACAAAGAAAAACUGACUUUAAACCUGAAACUGAUGUAGAUACUUUAAGUACUCCAGCUUGUUUGACAGUAGUUCAAUAUGUUACUGGAAUGAUUAGACAUAUUCGAAAUACUUUAGAUGGAAAAAAUUUAAAUAAUGUCUUAACUGAACUUGGAGUGCGAUUUCACAAAGUUAUUUAUGAUCAUUUACAACAAUUUCAAUUUAAUUCUGCUGGCGCAAUGUGUGCAAUAUGCGAUAUGAACGAAUACCGCAAAUGUGUUAAAGAACUUGAAGUCGAUCUCGUUACUUCCUUAUUUGAUACUUUACAUGCUCUCUGUAAUUUAUUAGUAGUAAAGCCAGAGAACUUGAAACAAGUUUGUACAGGAGAACAGUUGGCAACAUUAGACCGUAAUGUUUUGCUGAAUUUUAUACAAUUAAGAACUGAUUAUAAAACACAAAAAUUAGCAAAUUGUUUAAAAGGCUUAGCUACGUAAUAAAUUUAUACUAUUUGUAGAAAUUCGUUAUUAUUUGAAUUUUUUUUCACUACAAUACAUACAACAUUUCAACAUAAAGAUGGAAGGCUUCAACUGUAUAUAAGAAGAAAAAUUGAAAAAUGGUCUUGUUUGUAAUUAUACAAUAAAUAUGAAAAAUGUAUAUAUUUGUAAUAAAUACACCAAUUGCACUGGUGUACGAGAUUCUUAUGAUA